UACGUAGGGAGCAAGCGUUGUCCGGAAUCAUUGGGCGUAAAGCGCGCGUAGGCGGUCAGGUAAGUCCGGUGUGAAAGUCAAAGGCUCAACCUUUGAAUGCCGCUGGAUACUGCCUGACUUGAGUCCGGAAGGGGCGAGUGGAAUUCCUGGUGUAGCGGUGAAAUGACGCAGAUAUCAGGAGGAACACCAAUGGCGAAGGCAGCUCGCUGGAACGGUACUGACGCUGAGGCGCGAAAGCGUGGGGAGCGAACAGG
rnacentral:rRNA from 1 species